rnacentral:lncRNA from 1 species
ACAUAUAAAUAAUACAUAUUUAAAUAACUAUAAUAGAAAUAGAAUAUUUUAAAAUACAAAUGAUGAGUGUAGAAGCCCAAAUUUUCCCGGGCCUGCACCAAACAAACAGCCCACAUAAACAAAAAAUUAAUAAACAGUCCACGACCCAAAACCCAAAUUACACCCGGGGCCCAUUACAAGCAAACCCAAAUAAAACCCAAACCUGAAUGGCCCAAUACCCUUCAACCCAAACCAAUACCCAAGCCCGAAAACCAAAGUCAACUUAGGGUUUCAGUGUCUGAAACCCUAAGCGACGCCUACUUCAGACCUUUGGUCUUCUACCGCCAUCGCCGCGUCUACCACCACCAUCACAUCAACCGUCGCCCAUCAACCUUGCAAAACAGAGAACACGCAAGCAACAAAAUAAUACAAUAAAAAUAGCAUUAAAAUAGAAGGAGAUCGGCUAUAAAAGGCCGGAUUUCCCCUCUGUACUCUUCUUCUUUUUUUUCAACGAGAUCAAUACAAAAAAAAGCAGAUUAAAGAAAUAGAAAGGUUGAUCCCAAAGUUUUUCUUUCUUGUUCUGUUCUUGCGCAUUUCCAUUCACUGUUAUUAUUAUUGUUUACUUAUUUUCUUUAUUCUUUUAAAUUAAAAGAAAGUGAAAAGAAAAAGGGGGAGAGGGUACCUACCGGUUUCGAAAGCUUGUCGCCGGAACUCCUUUCCGGUGUUGGAAUCGGACCGAGGGGGGUACGAAGGACCUCUCUUUUUUCUUCUUUUCGAAACUAAAGGGGACAGAUCUCUAGCGGGGUUUGAAGGUGGGGUUAAAAACCCGAUUUUUGAAGGCGCCGACCACCGCCUGCGGUGGAGUCACGGCGGCCUUUGGCCUGGAGGCCCGACGGUCGGACUUAAAGAGGGAGAGAACUGAGAGAGUUCUCUGUUUUUUUAAAAAU